GCCACUAUUAUAUGAGCUUUCAAGGGUUAAAUUUUAGCCCGAAUUAUGGGGCCGCCAUGUGUUUGGAACACGAAUCUAUCUCUGAAGGUUCUCAAAUCAAAACAUUGGCUCUAUCAUCGUUUGUGGGAAUCAGAUUCUUUCUCCCGGGCCUCAUUAUCGUUAAUAAUGGAAAUGUACCUUUGGCUUUCCUAAAGGCACCUGGACUUACGAUCGCUCUCUCUGAUCUCUCUGGCUUCCCACCUGGAGAAGAGCGUGUACACGUUUCCCUGGUUCAAGCCUUGGGACUUUUCGAAGGAUGAAUGGAAGGGCAGGGCUCUGGGCAGAGUGGAGAUGGACCAGCAGGAGGCUCGCCGACCAGCCUGGAUCGAGGAGAAAGAAUGGCCAGCUUGAGGGUAGCUGGGGGUCCCGAGAUGGAGUCAUUCAGGGCACUAAGGAGUGAGAUGUGGGGACAAAGGUUGCAACAGGAAAUCUUUCCCUUACUGUUGGUUGUGGUCAAAAACAUUUGAAACACAUUGGUUUAAAGAGCAUCAGUGUUGAGUGAGCAUUGGUGAUUGCACCUCCUCCAAUCAAGCUGUGGGAUAUCUUUGAGGAGAGCCAAGCUUUCAAGUAAAAGUGAAGAGCUGGAGAGAGCUUUGAAGAGGAGGAGGGAGAAAGAAGCACGGCCUUGCUACUUGGAGAGGAUCAGAGAAGACAGGAAAAAAGGCAGUAGGAAAAGCAGCCAGAGGAUAGAGAGGCUGCUUACUAUUGUGAAAGAACACUGGAUUAGGAGUUAGACGAAAGACCGCGGUUUGAGUUUCAUCUUUGCCACCUAAACCCUUACAGGUUCUUUUCAUUUCCAUGGAAAGGUUAGAAUCAGCUUGUCAAUUUCCACAACAAAGCUAACUGGGAUUUCGCCCAUUUACAGAGGAUUGAAAGAUGGCCCCCAAAAAGGCACACACAGGAGAAAACAUACGACACACACAGAGGAGGAGGCAAUGUGAAAAUGGAGGACGAGAUUGGAGUGAUGUGGCCAAAGCCAAAGGAGCUGAGGAACCCAAAGAAUGCCAACAGCCCCCAAAAGCUGGAAGAGGCGAGGAAGGACUCUGCUCUAGAGCCACUAGAGGGAGUGAAGCCUCACUGACACCUUGGUCUCGGACUUCUGGCCUCCAGACGGUGAGAGGAUAGAUUUCUUAUUUUAGCCACAAAUUUUUGGUAAUUUAUUACAGUGCCCAUAGGAAACAAAUACACUCAUUGUCACGUUGAGGAAGUUCCAUUCUUUUCCUAGUUUUUUGUUUUUCGGGUUUUUUUUUUUUUUCCCCAAAAGUAGAUAUUGGAUUUUGUCAAAUGCCUUUUCUGCAUCCUUUGAAAAAUAUUCUUUUCCUGGUACUUUGUUAAUGUGGCCAUAAUCUAUAUAGACCCUCUGUUCACAUAUCUUAGUCCGAUCAUAGCUGUUACCCUAGAAACACUUGUUGGUGAAAGUGUUGGGUCCCAACACGUUGUAUAAAAUCGUAAACAUGUCAGCAUGAAUCUUCUUGCUUUAUAUAUGCUAAAGAGAUUUUGAGAAGUCAUUGAAGAGUCUAUAGAACAAAACUAUCUCAAAAGACUUAGAAGAGAAAAACAGUGAUCACGGAAUUUAUCUUGAGUGGUUCUCUAUAACAGGGACCACACGGGUAACCCUUGGGUCCAGUUUAGCCUU
ensembl:lncRNA